UGUGUGGCCCUGUUCUGCUGUCUGGGCACCCGGUGGAGGGGAGGGUGCCCGGUGCUGACAGCUGCUGCAUUGGGUUUCAGGUUCUGUAGGUGUUGUUCCUUUUGUCUGUCAUCCAACACAGCUCUCUCUUCUGUUCUGCAGGUCACUGUGGAUUCCCGAUGUCCCGGUACUUGUGCAGGACCACUUGGUGUGCCUCACCCGAUGGGACACCCAGCGUCACUUCUCAGAGGCUAUUCAUCACCGCCACCCCCACCUCUGUUGUGGCCUAUGCGGUCUCACCCACCGCCACCACCACCACCACCAGUUACAGCACUCGCACAGUCCAUUUGCCACAUGAAGGGGCCACUCAGCUGUGGCAAUGAUGUGUUUAGAGAAGAUGUCAGAGGUGCAUUACGGCCCGAAUGUUUCCCUGCUCCAACCUGCCCCCUCUGCUGUUCUCUCCUAUUGUCACCCCUAAUGAAAUUGUCACAGUUC